rnacentral:rRNA from 1 species
GACGAACGCUGGCGGCGUGCUUAACACAUGCAAGUCGAGCGGUAAGGCCCUUUCGGGGGUACACGAGCGGCGAACGGGUGAGUAACACGUGGGUGACCUGCCCUCAGCUCUGGGAUAAGCCCGGGAAACUGGGUCUAAUACUGGAUAUGACUCCAUGACGCAUGUUGUGGGGUGGAAAGCCUUGUGCGGCUGAGGAUGGGCCCGCGGCCUAUCAGCUUGUUGGUGGGGNGAUGGCCUACCAAGGCGACGACGGGUAGCCGGCCUGAGAGGGCGACCGGCCACACUGGGACUGAGACACGGCCCAGACUCCUACGGGAGGCAGCAGUGGGGAAUCUUGCGCAAUGGGCGAAAGCCUGACGCAGCGACGCCG